UACAGAGGUCCCAAGCGUUGUUCGGAUUCACUGGGCGUAAAGGGUGCGUAGGCGGUCGGGUAAGUCUGAUGUGAAAUCUCACAGCUUAACUGUGAAACUGCAUUGGAUACUAUCCGGCUCGAGGAAUGGAGGGGAGACUGGAAUACUUGGUGUAGCAGUGAAAUGCGUAGAUAUCAAGUGGAACACCAGUGGCGAAGGCGAGUCUCUGGACAUUUCCUGACGCUGAGGCACGAAAGC
rnacentral:rRNA from 1 species